GUUCUUGUGGCCUAGUGGUUAUGGCGUCUGCUUUACAGCACACGUGGAUGUUGCUAUCCAUGUUGUAGCGGAAACGCAGAAGAUCCCCGGUUCGAUCCCGGGCGAGAACA